UAUUGGAGGGGCAAGUCUGGUGCCAGCAGCCGCGGUAAUUCCAGCUCCAAUAGCGUAUAUUAAAGUUGUUGUGGUUAAAAAGCUCGUAGUUGAAUCUUGGGCCUGGCUGGCCGGUCCGCCUCACCGCGUGUACUGGUCCGGCCGGGUCUUUCACUCUGCGGAACCACAUGCCCUUCAGUGGGUGUGGCGGGGAAGCAGGACUUUUACUUUGAAAAAAUUAGAGUGCUCUAAGCAGGCCAAUGCUCGAAUACAUUAGCAUGGAAUAAUAAAAUAGGACGCGCGGUUCUAUUUUGUUGGUUUCUAGGACCGCCGUAAUGAUGAAUAGGGACAGUCGGGGGCAUCAGUAUUCAGUUGUCAGAGGUGAAAUUCUUGGAUCUACUGAAGACUAACUACUGCGAAAGCAUUUGCCAAGGAUGUUUUCAUUAAUCAGGAACGAAAGUUAGGGGAUCGAAGACGAUCAGAUACCGUCGUAGUCUUAACCAUAAACUAUGCCGAUAGGGGGAUCGGAAAGAG
rnacentral:rRNA from 1 species